AACAGAUUUGAACAGAUACUUCACAAAACAAGAUUUAUGGGUGGCAAAUGAGCACAUAAAAAGAUAUGGGAAAACUGGCUGGGAUGUUCCAAUAUUCCCCUCUCAUAUUUCCAGCCAUUUCCCCACCUUAGCUGCGACUUUGACAGUGACAAGUGCUCACAGGACUCCUGAGGCUGAGGUGCAUUCACGACGCUCUGAUUGUCAGGCUGGGCCAGCUGGGGAGGCAGCCCUGCCACACAGUUGCCAAGCCCCUUUACCCCCAGAGCCUGUGUCCUUAUGACAAUGUGCUCAUCUCUUGGACCAGAUGAUGUGAGGUUAGGCUCUUCCAAGGUGAUCCUAGGUUGGCUGUGGACACAGUGAGGAUUUGCUUGCUUUGGUUUCUUUGUAGUGAUUUCUACCUCCUCAUGGUUGUUCAUGUCUCAGGAAAACCUGGAAAACUUAAAAUGAAUGGAGAGAAUGGGUCUCUGGUCAAGAGUAGAGAAUCACGAUGAUUCUCACGUUGCUGUCAUCUAGAAAAUUCAGAUGUCACUCAUUUCUAACCCGCUUCUGCCCUGGACUUGAAUCAAGGGAGGAAAACAUAACAUUCUGUCACAGAGAAAGCAUAUCCUUCUCAGCAAGUGAUUCAGUGAAACUUCCAUGAGUGAAAGAGGCACUUUGUCACAGGAGCAGAAGUGGCCUUGCCACAGUGGAAAGGAGAAGAUGCGUAACUCCUCAUGUUAAAACAGAGGCUUUCUUUAAAUGGUAAGGAAAGAAGAGGAUGUAGAGAAAUUGGAACCCUUCUGAACUGUUAAGAACAUAGAACGGUGCAGCCACUAUGGAAAAGAGUAUGGCAGUCUCUCAAAAAAUAAAAAAUAGAACUACCAUAUGAUCCAACAAUCCCACUUCUGGGUAUAUAUCCAAAAGAACUUUUAAAAAGGGUCUGGAAGAAAUAUAUACACACCACCAUGUUUAUUGCGGCGUGAUUCAUAAUAGCCAAGAGGCUGAAACAGUACCAUGUCUAUUGACAGAUGAACAGAUAAACAAAAUGUAAUGUAUCCAUGCAAUGGGAUAUUAUUCAGCCUUAAAAAGGAAUAAAGUUUGGAUACAUGCUACAACAUGGAUAAAUCUUGAGGACUUACGAUAUGUGAAAUAGGCCAGUCACAAAAAGGCAAAUACUGUAUGAUUCCAUUUAUAAGAGUGUAUAAAUUAGUUGAAUUCAUAGAGACAGGAAGUAGAAUGGUGGUUGCUGGGGACUUGUUUUGUAAUGGGUAGAGAGUUUAUAUGCAAGAUUAAGAAGUUUUGGAGAUCUAAUUUUACAACAAUGCAAAUGUGCUUAACGCUAUGGAAACACAUACUUUAAAAUUAUUAAGAUGGUAAAUUUUAUAUUAUAUGUUUUGUGGAGUUUUCAUUUCUGGAAGUGGAGGAAAUAAGAACAAUUGUUCACUUGCAUUUUGUUCUUACUGUAUUGACAAUCAAUAGUCACUCACUCCAUGAGUAACUUCAAAGAAACAGGUAUCUCUGAGCUUACAGCUCCAAGCACAAGAACAGUAAAGAAUCCUCGAAGAAGAUAAAACAGUUCUAUGGUCUCUGAACAAAGCUUCCAAUGUCUAGGGCAUUGCGGGUGCCCAAUUUUAUAUACAACAGGCUUGUC
rnacentral:lncRNA from 1 species